rnacentral:misc_RNA from 1 species
AAGUCGUAACAAGGUUUCCGUAGGUGAACCUGCGGAAGGAUCAUUAACACAAUUUACUGUGACAAAUCCGUUGAAUUCUCGAAUUCAAUGGUAUCCACCCCAUUAUUGACGAACUUUUCUAGAUGUUAAAACUAAAAACGUAGAGCUAGUCUUUAUAUUUUUAACAUUCUAAAACUUUUCUAUACCCACACAUUUAAACCCCUUUUACAACAUGUCUUAGACUGAAACGAAAAUUUUCUAUCAAAAAAUUGAUAAAAACAACUUUUAACAACGGAUAUCUUGGCUCUC